rnacentral:rRNA from 1 species
UCUAUGGAGAGUUUGAUCCUGGCUCAGGACGAACGCUGGCGGCGUGCUUAAUACAUGCAAGUCGAGGGACGAAACCAAGAUGGGCAACCAUCGAGGCUGAAACCGGCGAACGGGUGAGUAACACGUGGGUAACGCACCCCAGACACAGGAACAACAACGGGAAACCGUUGCUAAUGCCUGAUAAACCCUGCGUACCGCAUGGCGGGCAGGGCAAAGCUCCGGCGGUCUGGGACCGGCCCGCGUCCUAUCAGCUUGUUGGUGGGGUAAUGGCCUACCAAGGCGAUGACGGGUAGCUGGCGUGAGAGCGUGACCAGCCACACUGGGACUGAGACACGGCCCAGACUCCUACGGGAGGCAGCAGUAGGGAAUCUUGCACAAUGGGCGCAAGCCUGAUGCAGCGACGCCGCGUGAGGGAUGACGGCCUUCGGGUUGUAAACCUCUUUCAGCGGGGACGAAGCGAAAGUGACGGUACCCGCAGAAGAAGGUCCGGCCAACUACGUGCCAGCAGCCGCGGUAACACGUAGGGACCGAGCGUUGUCCGGAUUUAUUGGGCGUAAAGCGCGCGUAGGCGGCUGUCCACGUCGGAUGUGAAAGCUCGGAGCUCAACUCUGAGAGGCCAUUCGAUACGGGACAGCUAGAGGCAGCUAGGGGAGAGUGGAAUUCCUGGUGUAGCGGUGAAAUGCGCAGAUAUCAGGAGGAACACCGGUGGCGAAGGCGGCUCUCUGGGGCUGUUCUGACGCUGAGGCGCGAAAGCUGGGGGAGCGAACAGGAUUAGAUACCCUGGUAGUCCCAGCCGUAAACGUUGGGUGCUAGGUGUGGGGAGGCCUUCAACCCUUUCCGUGCCGAAGCUAACGCAUUAAGCACCCCGCCUGGGGAGUACGGCCGCAAGGCUAAAAC